UUAAAUUCGGCGAUAAGCUAACUUUAGAGCAGUGUAAGCGUCUUAUAAAGUUAUUGAAGCAUACGCAAUUUCCCAAUCGAUGUGCACAUGGACGACCGACUAUAAUACCAGUAAUGGAAUUUUCAGAAUUAGGAAAAAGAAACGUCAAGAAAUAUGAGGAAAAAUUAAACUUUGCUUCCUUGAAGAAGACUACAUUAUUGGAAUAGACCAGCAAUCGUAUAUAUACUGUCUAAUGUAAUUAAAAAUAUAAUUAUUAUUCUUAAAUAUAUAUAUAUAAAAUUACAUGUAGAAAUAUAGUUUAUUUAAUAAAAAGAAAUAUUUGGUCCACACAAAAAGGUAUGUUUAUUAUAAAACCAGACAACUAUGUUUAUUGCAAAACUUUUUUUAAUAAAUCGCAAUAUACAUUUUAUGUCAUUGUAACAAAGAGUGAGGCCAAAAAUCGUCUGUUUCUCCAAAUUUAGACUUGAAUUCAGUGUUAAACCAUAGUUAUGUACAAGACAUUGUUCCUUUGAAAGUUUUAAAUUGAGUCUACUUUUUAUCUUUAAGAUAUGAGGGAUCAAAGUUCGCAUAAAAUGAAGGCUAAAAGUUCCUAUCAACUGUUCUGAUUCAUUUUGCGAGAUGCUGAGGUCUUCAUGACUAUGUACGUACAAGAAUCGUACUUUAGCUUUCGAAAGAACUGACGCGGGAUCGAUGUUGUAAGAACCAAUGCACCGCAAUUUUGAAGGGGAUUGAUUCAGAUGACUUCGGUAACUGACUGCUGCAUGAUAGCGCGCGCGGGUACACACAUGCACACACGCGCGCACACGUGUAUAUGUAUAUACAUAUCUAAGAUCUAAACUUUAUGACAUAUAUCAUAAUCUUAUUUUCUGUACGUAGAUUUUUUGGAAGUAGUGGAUAAGGCACUUCAUGCAGAAUGUAAAUUUUGACCUCUUAUAUCUUGAAGAUAAUGAGUGGGCUCAAUCUGAAACUUCUAGGGUAUUAAUAUCUUAUAUAUAACUAUUGUUUAGCCUCAAAUUCAACUCGAAAUUCAAGGGCAAGGUCUGUAGAUGAACGA